rnacentral:lncRNA from 1 species
GCGGCCAAACAUCCAAGGAGCCACGUGAACUUUCCCACGAACACGAGUGCAUAGUUGUGGGCAGUGGAUUUAUUCAUUUAUUGAGACGAAAUGAAGCGUUGAGAAAUGUUCAUAAACAACAUGUACAGUUUCGGGAUAUAUCCAAAUUGUAUGUUUGUACAAAGGUAUGGCAGUGUAUUUUCAAUAUUAUAAUGAAUCAGCCUCAAACCUGUCACUUUUGAACCGGUCAUACACACAGACGAGGGUAGUUACGUCAUAUUGCAUGUAUUUUCUUUACCAAAUAUGGGAUUAGGUAAACACAGCCAUACGUGUGACAAUUUUAUGUUAUCGGGCAUAUGUUUAUGGGAAUCAGAUAUGCAGCCGUCACAGCCUGCUGAUGAAGAUCCUCAGCUUAUACAGAGGGCAGGCUUGAGCUAUGUGCUGUUUCAAAAGAUGCUAAUGACAGUGGAUAAUCCAUUCUGAGUUGUUCUAGGACCAUUCACCAACGUUUCAAAACACUGAUGGAACUGAAGGCAGUACGUGUACUGGUGUCUGACCUGUGAUUUCAAGUAUAAUUGAUGUACCUCCUUGAAUACAAUAUAUCUGCCAUGUGAAAGGAACAAGCUGCAAGAUAUACUGUGGAAGUGGGGGCCUAUAGAUGUAAAAAAACAUUUUAUUUAAAGAAUAUAAGAAAUCUGACACUAAACUACUGAAAAGGUGCACAGGGGACAUUUUUGUGUGUAUAGACUUUCAUCAAGAUUCUGAGAAAGUUGAUUUAUUAAACAAAACUAGUCAUAUUGUGUCUUCAAAGCUGAAAAGAUUAAGAUCUUAGGAAAACAUUAGGACAAAAAAAAGUAAUGGGGUUAUGAAACUGUAGUGUUCAACAUUUAAAUUGUUUUUGUUUUUUUCACUACAUUUUGUGAAGAGGGUUCCAUCACAAGAUAUGACAUACUGGUAAGAAUGAGAUGUAGGUUAUGAAAAAAAGAAUUUUGCUUUAAAUGUGCAGACUUUAAGUCACAUAAAAAAUCAAAGCUGUAACAAUAAAGCUUGAUUAAAAAAAACACUGUUGAAAACUAGCCUUUAUGUAAAUGUCACACUUUUUUGGGUGCACAGGGGACACAAUUAGCUAUAUAAUU